AUCUACUGCUAGAAGCAUGGAAUGUCUUAUAUUAUCCUACAAAGAAGGAAAUGCAUCUUGAGGGGGCAAGGAUUUGACAAGCACUCUCACAUAUACUGAGAUAACA
rnacentral:lncRNA from 1 species